CCCCGCCCGCCGCCUCAAUCCGCAGCCCCCAAACGUUCGUCCUCACCGAACGCCCGCCCGAGACCGGAACCGGAAGCGCGGGCGGCGCCGUGGAUGGAGCGGGCGUUCUUAGCGACACGAAAAGCAUCCGUGGAGCUCAAGUUUGAUGUGAAACCAGGCUCAGGGUCCACCUGUCCUCGCUGAUCCAUGGAUUUCUGUGUGACCAGGUCCCAGGCUGGACAGAGAGUGACUCUACUGGGAGCUGAGCCAUGAGACUCAGCGCGUCACCUACCUGGGCUCCUUCACCCUGGACUGGGACAGCCUCUACUUCAGUGGUUACACCUAUGGAGCCGUGGCCCCAACUACCACCAGUGAGUAUUCCUGGCCCUGGUCUCCUGUGUCCCGUCUGCAUUUGUAGUUUGGGAGCACUUGUUCUCUUUCAUCUG